UCGUGAGACAGGUUAGUUUUACCCUACUGAUGAAUGUUAUCGCAAUAGUAAUUGAACUUAGUACGAGAGGAACAGUUCAUUCGGAUAAUUGGUUUUUGCGGCUGUCUGAUCAGGCAUUGCCGCGAAGCUACCAUCCGCUGGAUUAUGGCUGAACGCCUCUAAGUCAGAAUCCAUGCUAGAAAGCGAUGAUUUCUUUCCCUUACACAAUAUAGAUGGAUACGAAUAAGGCGCUUUUAGCGUCGCUGAACCAUAGCAGGCUGGCAUUGGUGCUCUUAGCGGAAAGGCUUUGGGUGCUUGCCGGCGAAUUGCAAUGUCAUUUUGCGUGAGGAUAAAUCAUUUGUAUACGACUUAAAUGUACAACGGGGUAUUGUAAGCAG
rnacentral:rRNA from 1 species